rnacentral:rRNA from 1 species
GCAGGCAGGUUGGUGCUCCUCAACUCGGUCCUGACCGCCUUCACCACCUACUGGUUAUCUGUCCAAGACAUGCCAGCGUGGGUGCGCCGCCAAAUUGACAAGGCCAGAAGAGCUUGGCUGUGGCGUGGGCAAGAGGAAUGCCAUGGUGGUCACUGCAAGGUUGCUUGGGGGAGGAUCUGUAGGCCGAAGGAGCUAGGCGGCCUCGGGAUCUUGGAUCUAGUGCGGUUCGGACAUGCCUUGAGGCUACGUUGGCUGUGGCUUGAACGGACGGCACUGGAAAGGCCAUGGAUAGGUUUG